GAACGAAGCCUUCGGGCUUAGUGGCGCACGGGUGCGUAACGCGUGGGAAUCUGCCCUUGGGUACGGAACAACAGUUAGAAAUGACUGCUAAUACCGUAUGAUGUCUUCGGACCAAAGAUUUAUCGCCCAGGGAUGAGCCCGCGUUGGAUUAGGUAGUUGGUGGGGUAAAGGCCUACCAAGCCGACGAUCCAUAGCUGGUCUGAGAGGAUGAUCAGCCACACUGGGACUGAGACACGGCCCAGACUCCUACGGGAGGCAGCAGUGGGGAAUAUUGGACAAUGGGCGAAAGCCUGAUCCAGCAAUGCCGCGUGAGUGAUGAAGGCCUUAGGGUUGUAAAGCUCUUUUACCCGGGAAGAUAAUGACUGUACCGGGAGAAUAAGCCCCGGCUAACUCCGUG
rnacentral:rRNA from 1 species